AGCGGUGCGCCACCCUUCCCCCUACCCCCGCUUCGCCCCCCUCGGGCGAGACGGUGGCUACUAGGGUUUCGCUGCCCCAUCACCCCUCCUACCCCCUUCCUUCCCUCAUCGCCACCAAAGAUGUUCACCGGGGAAGCCAACGUUGGCGUCGGGGAAGGUGGCGGCGGGGAUCUCGACGCUCGUCCCUUCUCGAAGGCCUUUGGUACCUGUGAGCGGUGGCCCCUUCGGUGGGGGCGGCGUUCAAUGGCAUCAACGUCCGCAGGUGGCGUACAGGCCAGCGUGUUCGACCGUGAGGGCGGCGAGUCACUGGUGGAGUUCGAUCGCUGCACGAAACCUAUCUGCAUCAGAUCUAGAGCUGCAAAGGUAAUAAUUUAGAUGGGCAUGUUUGAAGGACGGUGGCGUGGCAGUAGAUGAUGAUGAUGCCUGCUCAGCGGUGGCAUGCAUGCAGACGCAGUGCGGCCCAUGGGAAAUUUCAUGCAUGGGCAUGCCAACGCCGACGUGCAGAUGCUUGGAAACA